rnacentral:lncRNA from 1 species
AUCUAUCGCACUUAAGGGCUCAACUACAGCGCUCGUGUUACACCUUGGAUUACAGCAUAAGCUCAGAUUACGUCAACAGACCCGCCACAUGCACAAGGAUACACCUUAUACAUAUAAAGCGUCAACAAAAUCUGUUCAAAAAAAUAACUAAACUUUAACAAUAGCAUGUAUCAGAAUAAAGUAAAAAUUAUAUACUAUAGCAACUUUGUAAAUAUACAAUUAUCACCACACCAGUUCUCAAAAUAGUGCAACAUCUCUGAUCACUUCAAACCUCAAAAUACUAUACAGACUGCUAUAUACACUGUUAUGUGGUCCAGCUACACACACAAAGAAGUAGAAGAUUAUCUUGAUCAGUUGCUAGUGCAGAAAGUUUUGAAAUAAAAUUAUAUUAAUAAAGAUGGUAUGAGAAAUAUAAUCAAUAGUCUCCAGUGGGUACGAUCGUCAACCCCAACGGUCUACACCACUAGGUCCAUAUAUGAGGCAGAAACAGUAAAUAACUAAGCAAUGGAAAUAAACAGGUACUAAUAUAAAUAAUUGUUGAAAAGAACUACUACUAUUAUGCCUCUAUAAUAUAACAAAAAACUGUGAAUCGUAUAUUUCAUGCAUCAAUUAUAUACUGAAUAAAAUAAUAUAAUAAUACCGAAUAAUAGUGACCGACUCAACA